rnacentral:rRNA from 1 species
ACGCGAAGAACCUUACCUACUCUUGACAUCCAGAGAACUUAGCAGAGAUGCUUUGGUGCCUUCGGGAACUCUGAGACAGGUGCUGCAUGGCUGUCGUCAGCUCGUGUUGUGAAAUGUUGGGUUAAGUCCCGCAACGAGCGCAACCCUUAUCCUUUGUUGCCAGCGAUUCGGUCGGGAACUCAAAGGAGACUGCCAGUGAUAAACUGGAGGAAGGUGGGGAUGACGUCAAGUCAUCAUGGCCCUUACGAGUAGGGCUACACACGUGCUACAAUGGCAUAUACAAAGAGAAGCGACCUCGCGAGAGCAAGCGGACCUCAUAAAGUAUGUCGUAGUCCGGAUUGGAGUCUGCAACUCGACUCCAUGAAGUCGGAAUCGCUAGUAAU